ACUUUUCUUUAAUCAAUGGCCUGACUGCAAUGAUAACAGGAUUAGGGGACCCGAUCCAACCGAGUGUGAGCUGGACAGGUUUUGAGAGGUGCUACAAUGCCUGGAAAGGCCAGAACGUACAAAUAAUGAGGAGGAGAAAGGUCAGUGGCAAACACAAUGGUUCAUGUCACUCAACAACCUUCAGUGGACAAACAGCAGGAAGCUGAUGUCUUCAUAAAAAGAUGGAUUUCCGUCCAUCCUCAAAAACAUGAUGUUAAUCAGGAGUAAAGGCUGAUUCGUAAGGAGGAACUGAACCGCGAAGUGAAGAAUAAUAAGAAAGUCAGAUGUGUUUGGGACGACACUAGG